UGCAAAGAUACCUUUUCGCCCGAUAGUGUGGCCCAGACGUGGUUUUCCCUUCCGCCGGAGCCCCCAAGUGCCCCCCCACUGCGCUGGGUUCGGCCUGGCAUCGCCGGGCCCAAAAACGGGCCAAGCCGGCGGAUUUUGGCAUCUUGGGGGCGUGACUGGGGGAGUUUUUCGGCGCCGGUGCGAAAAAAGUUGCCCUGGGGCCCUGUUGGGGGCGCAGCUGGAGAUGCUCAUAGAAUAGUGUUAGCGGACGGGCUCCCUUGAACGUGUUGGUGCCUGCGCGUUCAGCCGCUGUUUGGACUCUCGAACCAAGGACUGGAAGCCUCAUCCGGCUGUGAGAUGAUCUCCUGCAGAGAGGACCUGAUGCAAAACCUGCCUGGAGAAGACACACCCUGUGAGAGCAUCUCCAACAGCGGCGGUAAAUAUCACGCGUGCGGGAAACCUGCUUUUUAGCGCGCGCGGACCGGUUUCGCGCGCUCCAGCGGGCGCAUGAGAUUCCGGCGCGCGCGGGCAAUAUUUUGCAGCUGCGCUGGAGCCAGCACACUGCUGCGCCCAAAGAUAUACUAUUCCGGUGCUGUAAAGCAUGUUUUAGUGCGUCGUGCGUUGCGCGCCUGUUGGAGAUGCUGUGAGGUGUGAGCUAUGAGGAGGGGAUCGUCGGCCUAGCCAUGCCGCUUCUUGCCUAUAUGCGUCAUCACAGCUAUCUAUGUGGCUGGACUCGCACCAGGCCCCCAACCGACUGUCCGUUUAGGCAAAGGCCAGUUCAAAAUUUUGAAUUUGAAAUCUUGCAUUUAAUGCCGUUAUUAUUGCCUUGUCAUGUUUAUUAUGUUUUGUGUUUUGGGUAUGUAUCCAUGUUCUGUAAAUGGCUAGUCAGACCUUUGUAAUCGGCACAAGUGAUCAUGUAUCCUCCAUGUUCUUCUAUAGCCAUGCACUUAUGCCGCAUGAUAACUAUUAAGUAAUGGCUACAAUUUCUUACUUCCUCCGUUUCUAAAUAUUUGUCUUUCUAUAUAUUUCAAUAAGUGACUACAUACGGAGCAAAAUGAGUGAAUCUACACUCUAAAAUAUGUCUAUAUACAUCCGUAUGUGGUAGUCCAUUUGAAAUAUCUAAAAAGACAAAUAUUUAGGAAUGGAGGGCAUAGAAUAUUUCUAGAUGUAAAUAAAUGUUUCGGAUGCAAACCAUCUGUUCAGUAGGAUAAGAUUGCUACAGUUAUUUUUGAGGAACACACUUAACCGAAUACUAACUUGUUUUAAGUGUAUACCAGUACAAUGUGUAGAACUUGGCGUGCUGAUAAAACAUGCUUAAAUGCUUACCCUUUUAUGCUUAUUAUGGCUGCCAAACCAAAUAUUUAUACUUCAAUCUAGAUCGAAAUCCUUCUGUCGUUUUUGGAUAGUUUGGUACAUGAUAUGUUGACAAUUAAGGAGGCUUACCAAUUAAUAUAAAGUGCCUUAACUAGCUUUGUUAAUAUCCUACUCUGAAAUGUUUCAUUCAUCUGUCCCUAAAGCUUUGUGUCAAAUUAUUUUCUCUUUCCUAAGGUACUAGCACACUGUUCUGAGUGAUCCUAAAAAGUAUUCUAAUUUUUUUAGGUGUUACAAUAUCGCUUUUCCAAUUUCCUAUCAUCAAUUUUUAUGAUGAUUAGUAUUUAUACUUAUCAUAUAAGGUUAGGUAAAAGUACAUCUGAUUUAUUCAAUACAUGUAUGAUCAACUAACUGAUACAAAGUAGUGAAAAUAAAUCCAAUCAUGUAGCACAUCGAUCUCUAAUUCUCUACAAGUCCAAUGAUCACUGCAGAAAUAUAAUCAUACUGCGUGAACCAGAAAACAAGAGUAGCAAUUGUCUCGGACCAUUAGGCCAAAGUCAACUCUAAUAUUUGUAGACACAAUCGUUUAUUUCUUGCAAAUAUCCGGCAAAUUGAACACUGUUUAUCCAGGCCUUCAAAUAGAGAGGCCUUACUUGGAAUUUGCUGCCUAAAUGGCAUAUAACUGACUCGUGCUUAUUUGAAGGUCCUGCCAGUAUUAAACCAGGCCUGUUUUCAAGGUCCUGCUCAGCAAUUAUGAAACGAAUCAUUUGUGUUCUGUCAUCUAGCUACUUUUUAAAAUGAACCAGUAUGUUAUUCCAAAGAAUUAUUGGCUUUGCAUACAUAUGCUGAUGCUGAUAUCAAGUAUGCGUUGCCUCAUUAAUAAUAAAUAUGUACAAAGUUUAAAAUACAAAACAAAGAUCAACCAAUGCCCGCUCUAGGAAACAAAGUCAUAGUUAAAUUACAGAUUCUAUUCUAUCCAGAUUCUUAUCUUUUCCGCCUUGCCCUGUUUUGCCCUGAGUUGUUCUACGGUUUAGGCUCGAAAAAUAAAAAAGUAUGUGUUGCUUCUGGUUAAGGAGUCUUAAAAGUGCUCGAGUGUCCAGGCAAGUUAGGAACUUAUUGUGCACAUUGUUCAAGACAUCUUACAGGCCAGUUAAGACAUAUCAGUGGGGAAAUAUUUAGUUGUAGCUUUGUACCAUUUAAUGUUUGAUCUUUGAAAUAUAAUGGAUUUUGUUCUGAGUCAUUUCUACUGGUUGUUGCCACAGGCACCAGAGCAUUCACAUCUGAAGGCUCACAUCUUGGAAAACAAACUUUUUUUGAGAAGGUGCAUCCCUUGGCCAUCACGAACUUCUACAGUUCAAAUAACAAGAUUUGUACCUCUGCUGCGUCUAUUUUUUUAGCUGGUUCAAGUGAGGAACUUGUGAUUAUCAGUAACUGUUCAUCAGACAAUCGGGUCGGACCAUUGCUAGUCCACCUGUUUCGUCAAAGGUUUAUUGCUGAUGGAAUUGAAACUUUGGUCAGGAUAGGUAUCCCAGAUAACGCUGCUAUCUUCUUGUGGUGAAACUGUUUGUUCUUUGGUCGGAACCUGAUCUUAUUCAUUAUAGGUGUACUUGUUGGAGGAAAUUUUGCCGUCAA